rnacentral:rRNA from 1 species
GGGUGAGUAACGCGUGAGAAUCUGCCUUGGGGUCGGGGACAACCACUGGAAACGGUGGCUAAUACCGGAUACGCCUUCGGGUAAAAGAUUUAUUGCCCUAAGAGGAGCUCGCGUCUGAUUAGCUAGUUGGUGAGGCAAGAGCUCACCAAGGCAGCGAUCAGUAGCUGGUCUGAGAGGACGAUCAGCCACACUGGGACUGAGACACGGCCCAGACUCCUACGGGAGGCAGCAGUGGGGAAUUUUCCGCAAUGGGCGAAAGCCUGACGGAGCAAGACCGCGUGAGGGAGGAAGGCUCUUGGGUUGUAAACCUCUUUUCUCAGGGAAGAAGCUCUGACGGUACCUGAGGAAUCAGCCUCGGCUAACUCCGUGCCAGCAGCCGCGGUAAUACGGAGGAGGCAAGCGUUAUCCGGAAUUAUUGGGCGUAAAGCGUCCGCAGGUGGCGAUUCAAGUCUGCUGUCAAAGCGCGGGGCUUAACUCCGUAAAGGCAGUGGAAACUGAAUAGCUAGAGUGCCGUAGGGGUAGAGGGAAUUCCCGGUGUAGCGGUGAAAUGCGUAGAGAUCGGGAAGAACAUCGGUGGCGAAAGCGCUCUACUGGACGGCAACUGACACUCAGGGACGAAAGCUAGGGGAGCGAAUGGGAUUAGAUACCCCAGUAGUCCUAGCUGUAAACGAUGGAUACUAGUGUAGC